UACGGAGGGUGCAAGCGUUAAUCGGAAUUACUGGGCGUAAAGCGCACGCAGGUGGCUGAGUCAGUCGAUUGUGAAAGCCCUGGGCUUAACCUGGGAAUUGCAGUCGAUACUACUCAGCUAGAGUAUGGGAGAGGGUAGUGGAAUUCCCGGUGUAGCGGUGAAAUUCGUGAGAUAUUACGCGAAGAACACCAGUGGCGAAGGCGGCUACUGGCCCGGUACUGACGCUGAGGUGCGAAAGCGUGGGGAGCAAACAGG
rnacentral:rRNA from 1 species